rnacentral:rRNA from 1 species
GUCAAUAAAAACACCUCCCUUUUUAUUCCAGAUCCUGUCUGAUUUUGGAAGUUAAGCAGGGCCAGUCCAGAUUAGUAUUUAGAUGGGAGAAUGUUAAUGAAUACCAGGUGCUAUAGGCU